GUCUUCAGCCAAAUUAUAAUCUGUUUUAAUGCCCAUCAAUCUUGUAGCAGAUGAUAAAGCUGAAUGACCAUCUCUGCAACCUUCGUACAAUGGUUGCUUUCCAGUAUCCAACAUAUCAUAAAAUCUCCUAGCUUGUGCAUUGGGUAAAUCUUUCCCUCUAAAAUGAUCAUUUACCAUCUGCUCAGUACCUACACCAUAAUCUACAUCCAUUCUAAUUGGUUCUUCUAAUCUAACCGCUGGCUGAGGU
rnacentral:lncRNA from 1 species